UACAGGGGGGGCAAGCGUUGUUCGGAAUUACUGGGCGUAAAGGGCUCGUAGGCGGCCUGUUAAGUCGAACGUGAAAUCCCCGGGCUCAACCCGGGAACUGCGUCCGAUACUGGCAGGCUUGAAUCCGGGAGAGGGAUGCGGAAUUCCAGGUGUAGCGGUGAAAUGCGUAGAUAUCUGGAGGAACACCGGUGGCGAAGGCGGCAUCCUGGACCAACACUGACGCUGAGUGAGCGAAAGCCAGGGGAGCAAACGGG
rnacentral:rRNA from 1 species